rnacentral:rRNA from 1 species
UACGUAGGGUGCAAGCGUUGUCCGGAAUUAUUGGGCGUAAAGAGCUCGUAGGCGGUUUGUCGCGUCUGGUGUGAAAACUCAAGGCUCAACCUUGAGCUUGCAUCGGGUACGGGCAGACUAGAGUGUGGUAGGGGGUGACUGGAAUUCCUGGUGUAGCGGUGGAAUGCGCAGAUAUCAGGAGGAACACCGAUGGCGAAGGCAGGUCACUGGGCCACUACUGACGCUGAGGAGCGAAAGCAUGGGGGAGCGAACAGG